ACUCAAAGGAAUUGACGGGGGCCCGCACAAGCAGCGGAGCGUGUGGUUUAAUUCGAUGCAACACGAAGAACCUUACCAGGGCUUGACAUGUUGGAAGUAGUGAACCGAAAGGGGAACGACCUGUUAAGUCAGGAGCCAUCACAGGUGCUGCAUGGCUGUCGUCAGCUCGUGCCGUGAGGUGUCGGGUUAAGUCCCAUAACGAGCGCAACCCCUGUUGCCAGUUAUUUUCUCUGGCGAGACUGCCCCGCAAAACGGGGAGGAAGGCGGGGAUGAUGUCAAGUCAGUAUGGCCCUUAUGCCCUGGGCUACACACACGCUACAAUGGGUGGUACAAUUGGUUGCAAUGGAGCGAUCCGGAGCUAAUCCGUAAAACCACUCACAGUUCGGAUUGCAGGCUGAAACCCGCCUGCAUGAAGUCGGAGUUGCUAGUAACCGCGUAUCAGCAUGGCGCGGUGAAUACGUUCUCGGGCCUUGUACACACCGCCCGU
rnacentral:rRNA from 1 species